GGGGGCACCCUGAUCUAUCCAUGCCGCGUGUGUGAUGAAGGCCCUAGGGUCGUAAAGCACUUUCGCCAGAGAUGAUAAUGACAGUAUCUGGUAAAGAAACCCCGGCUAACUCCGUGCCAGCAGCCGCGGUAAUACGGAGGGGGUUAGCGUUGUUCGGAAUUACUGGGCGUAAAGCGCACGUAGGCGGAUUAGUAAGUUAGAGGUGAAAUCCCAGGGCUCAACCCUGGAACUGCCUUUAAUACUGCUAGUCUUGAGUUCGAGAGAGGUAAGUGGAAUUCCGAGUGUAGAGGUGAAAUUCGUAGAUAUUCGGAGGAACACCAGUGGCGAAGGCGGCUUACUGGCUCGAUACUGACGCUGAGGUGCGAAAGUGUGGGGAGCAAACAGGAUUAGAUACCCUGGUAGUCCACACCGUAAACGAUGAAUGCCAGACGUCAGCAAGUAUACUUGUUGGUGUC
rnacentral:rRNA from 1 species